rnacentral:rRNA from 1 species
GUCCACGCCCUAAACGAUGGCAACUGGGUGUUGGGGGAGCGAUUCCUCAGUACCGUAGCUAACGCGUGAAGUUGCCCGCCUGGGGAGUACGGCCGCAAGGUUAAAACUCAAAGGAAUUGACGGGGACCCGCACAAGCGGUGGAUGAUGUGGAUUAAUUCGAUGCAACGCGAACAACCUUACCUACCCUUGACAUGUCCGGAACCCCACUGAGAGGUGGGGGUGCCCGAAAGGGAAUCGGAACACAGGUGCUGCAUGGCUGUCGU